rnacentral:rRNA from 1 species
GCGGCGGACGGGUGAGUAACGCGUAGGAAUCUACCUAGUAGAAGGGGAUAGCCCGAGGAAACUCGGAUUAAUACCGUAUACCUCCUUCGGGAGAAAGAAGGCCUCUCUUUGAAGCUUUCGCUACUAGAUGAGCCUGCGUAAGAUUAGCUUGUUGGUGAGGUAAAGGCUCACCAAGGCUACGAUCUUUAGCGGGUCUGAGAGGACGAUCCGCCACAUUGGGACUGAGACACGGCCCAGACUCCUACGGGAGGCAGCAGUGGGGAAUAUUGGACAAUGGGCGAAAGCCUGAUCCAGCCAUACCGCGUGUGUGAAGAAGGCCCUAGGGUUGUAAAGCACUUUAAGUUGGGAAGAAAAGUUAUUGGUUAAUACCCAAUGGCCGUGACAUUACCAUCAGAAUAAGGACCGGCUAAUUCCGUGCCAGCAGCCGCGGUAAUACGGAAGGUCCAAGCGUUAAUCGGAAUUACUGGGCGUAAAGCGCGCGUAGGUGGUUUAUUAAGUUGGGUGUGAAAUCCCCGGGCUCAACCUGGGAACUGCAUCCAAAACUGAUUCACUAGAGUACGAUAGAGGGAGGUAGAAUUCACAGUGUAGCGGUGGAAUGCGUAGAUAUUGUGAAGAAUACCAAUGGCGAAGGCAGCCUCCUGGAUCUGUACUGACACUGAGGUGCGAAAGCGUGGGUAGCGAACAGGAUUAGAUACCCUGGU